rnacentral:tRNA from 1 species
GCGGGUAUGGCGGAAUUGGCAGACGCGCCGGAUUUAGGUUCCGGUUCGAAAGAAUGCAGGUUCGAUCCCUGUUACCCGCACCA